AGUGAACGCUGGCGGUAGGCCUAACACAUGCAAGUCGAACGGCAGCACAGUAAGAGCUUGCUCUUACGGGUGGCGAGUGGCGGACGGGUGAGGAAUACAUCGGAAUCUACUUUUUCGUGGGGGAUAACGUAGGGAAACUUACGCUAAUACCGCAUACGACCUACGGGUGAAAGCAGGGGAUCUUCGGACCUUGCGCGAUUGAAUGAGCCGAUGUCGGAUGAGCUAGUUGGCGGGGUAAAGGCCCACCAAGGCGACGAUCCGUAGCUGGUCUGAGAGGAUGAUCGGCCAAACUGGAACUGGAACACGGUCCAGACUCCUACGGGAGGCAGCAGUGGGGAAUAUUGGACAAUGGGCGCAAGCCUGAUCCAGCCAUACCGCGUGGGUGAAGAAGGCCUUCGGGUUGUAAAGCCCUUUUGUUGGGAAAGAAAAGCAGCAGGUUAAUACCCCGCUGUUCUGACGGUACCCAAAGAAUAAGCACCGGCUAACUUCGUG
rnacentral:rRNA from 1 species